rnacentral:rRNA from 1 species
GAUGAACGCUGGCGGCGUGCCUAACACAUGCAAGUCGAGCGAUUUACUUCGGUAAAGAGCAGCGGACGGGUGAGUAACGCGUGGGUAACCUGCCUCAUACACAUGGAUAACAUACCGAAAGGUAUGCUAAUACAAGAUGAUAUAAGAGAUUCGCAUGGAUUUCUUAUCAAAGCUCCGGCGGUAUGAGAUGGACCCGCGUCUGAUUAGCUAGUUGGUAAGGUAACGGCUUACCAAGGCGACGAUCAGUAGCCGACCUGAGAGGGUGAUCGGCCACAUUGGAACUGAGACACGGUCCAAACUCCUACGGGAGGCAGCAGUGGGGAAUAUGGCACAAUGGGCGAAAGCCUGAUGCAGCAACGCCGCGUGAGCGAUGAAGGCCUUCGGGUCGUAAAGCUCUGUCCUCAAGGAAGAUAAUGACAGUACUUGAGGAGGAAGCCCCGGCUAACUACGUGCCAGCCGCCGCGGUAAUAC